UGGGGAAUAUUGCACAAUGGAGGGAACUCUGAUGCAGCGACGCCGCGUGAACGAAGAAGGCUUUCGAGUCGUAAAGUUCUUUUAUAUGGGAAGAUAAUGACGUUACCAUAAGAAAAAGCCCCGGCUAACUACGUGCCAGCAGCCGCGGUAAUACGUAGGGGGCUAGCGUUGUCCGGAAUCACUGGGCGUAAAGGGUUCGCAGGCGGAAAUGCAAGUCAGGUGUAAAAGGCAGUAGCUUAACUACUGUAAGCAUUUGAAACUGCAUAUCUUGAGAAGAGUAGAGGUAAGUGGAAUUAUUGGUGUAGCGGUGAAAUGCAUAGAUAGUAAAAAGAAUACCGGUGGCGAAGGCGACUUACUGGGCUCAUUCUGACGCUGAGGAACGAAAGCGUGGGUAGCAAGCAGG
rnacentral:rRNA from 1 species